GAUGAACGCUGGCGGCGUGCCUAAUACAUGCAAGUCGAGCGAACAGACGAGGAGCUUGCUCCUCUGACGUUAGCGGCGGACGGGUGAGUAACACGUGGAUAACCUACCUAUAAGACUGGGAUAACUUCGGGAAACCGGAUCUAAUACCGUAUAAGAUAUUGAACCGCAUGGUUCAAUAGUGAAAGACGGUUUUGCUGUCACUUAUAGAUGGAUCCGCGCCGCAUGAGCUAGUUGGUAAGGUAACGGCUUACUAAGGCAACGAUGCGUAGCCGACCUGAGAGGGUGGUCGCCCACACUGGAACUGAGCCACGGUCAAGAGUCCUACGGGAGGCAGCAGUAUGGAAUCUUCCGCAGUGGGCGAAAGCCUGACGGAGCAACGCCGCGUGAGUGAUGAAGGUCUUCGGAUCGUAAAACUCUGUUAUUAGGGAAGAACAAAUGUGUAAGUAACUAUGCACGUCUUGACGGUACCUAAUCAGAAAGCCACGGCUAACUACGUG
rnacentral:rRNA from 1 species